rnacentral:rRNA from 1 species
CCUACGGGGUGCAGCAGUGGGGAAUAUUGCACAAUGGGGGAAACCCUGAUGCAGCAACGCAGCGUGAGUGAGGAAGGAUUUCGGUAUGUAAAGCUCUAUCGGCAGGGGGGAAGGAGGACUGUACCUGACUAAGAAGCCCCGGCUAACUACGUGCCAGCAGCCGCGGUAAUACGGAGGGGGCGAGCGUUAUCCGGAUUUACUGGGUGUAAAGGGGGCGCAGGCGGCAGCGCAAGCCAGUAGGGAACGGCCGGGGCCCAACCCCGGUGCUGCGCUUGGAACUGCGCGGCGGGAGUGCAGGAGGGGCAGGCGGAAUUACUGGUGUAGCGGUGAAAUGCGUAGAUAUCAGGAGGAACACCGGUGGCGAAGGCGGCCUGCUGGACUGUGACUGACGUUGAGGCACGAAAGCGUGGGGAGCAAACAGGAUUAGAUACCCGGGUAGUC